rnacentral:rRNA from 1 species
UCCGAGUUGUAAUUUGUAGAAGAUGCUUCGGGUGUGGCUCCGGUCUAAGUUCCUUGGAACAGGACGUCAUAGAGGGUGAGAAUCCCGUAUGUGACUGGGUGCUUUCGCCUAUGUGAAGCUCUUUCGACGAGUCGAGUUGUUUGGGAAUGCAGCUCAAAAUGGGUGGUAAAUUUCAUCUAAAGCUAAAUAUUGGCCAGAGACCGAUAGCGCACAAGUAGAGUGAUCGAAAGAUGAAAAGCACUUUGGAAAGAGAGUUAAACAGUACGUGAAAUUGUUGAAAGGGAAGCGCUUGCAACCAGACUUGCACUUGGUCGAUCAUCCGGGGUUCUCCCCGGUGCACUCGAUCUUGUUCAGGCCAGCAUCGGUUCAGGUGGUGGGAUAAAGGCCUUGGGAAUGUAGCUUCUUUCGGGGAGUGUUAUAGCCCUCGGUGCAAUGCCGCCUACCUGGACCGAGGACCGCGCUUCGGCUAGGAUGCUGGCGUAAUGGUUGUAAGCGACCCGUCUUGAAACACGGACCAAGGAGUCUAACAUCUAUGCGAGUGUUUGGGUGUCAAACCCAUACGCGUAAUGAAAGUGAACGGAGGUGAGAACCCUUAAGGGUGCAUCAUCGACCGAUCCUGAUGUCUUCGGAUGGAUUUGAGUAAGAGCAUAGCUGUUGGGACCCGAAAGAUGGUGAACUAUGCCUGAAUAGGGUGAAGCCAGAGGAAACUCUGGUGGAGGCUCGCAGCGGUUCUGACGUGCAAAUCGAUCGUCAAAUUUGGGUAUAGG